UAUUCUUAUUAUUAUUAUUAUCACUUAUAUCCUGCCGUUGCUUUUCUACCAAUGGGACUCAAGGCUGCUCAGGAAUCAUGGCGCCGGAGAUAAGCGACAGGCAGGAUAACAAUAACAUUAUUAUUAUCAUUAUUAUUAUUAUUAUUACCAUCAUUUACAUCCUGCUUGGAACUCAUGGCGCGGGAUAUAAAGGGGAGGCAUAAUAAUAAUAGUAAUAGUAAUAAUUUAUGUAUAACCCGCCUCUCCGUCAGGGUAAAAAUACAACAAUAUAACGAAACACAAUGAAACCAUUAUCCCUCCCACAAACACAACAAUUACAAUUCCCUUGUAACAAUAAAAUGGCACUCAAAUUAUUAAAACAAUCAAGCAGUAAUAAUACUUUUAUUGUUAUUUUCAUUUAAAUCCUGCCUUUCCCAUCACUGGACUCUCGCGGCAGCAAUUAUUAGUGUAAUAGGACAUAAGGCAGCUUGGCAGUCACUAUGAAAUUGCUCACCGUUAAAGAAGAGACAGUUAAGAUUAUAGGAGAAGAUUUCUUUCUUGGCAAGACAAGAAACGAUGACUUCCAGCUACAAUCCAAAAGUUUCCUCAUUAAAGAAACUUUUCUUGCGCCCACCAAAAUCCUCACCCAACUGUGAAUGGUUGCAUGUCUGAACGGAUAAAGAUGCCAACAGAACAAAUUGUUUUAGCAGUGAUCCAGCAGCCAUUUGGACAAGUGAAACAACAUCAACAGCACAAUCUUACAUAAGUCUUCUCAGAAGUAAGUCUAAGUUAUUUCCAGGUAAGGGUGUAGACAGUUGCAUCCCUAGUAAGCAUGAAUACCUGUGUGUGAUCUUGCAAUUAUUUUAUAGCAAGGAAGGCUUUAACAAAGAUAUAAAGGUAUGGUUAUUGUAACUUUGACUGUAUGCAAUCCUACUGAAUCACCCUUUUAAAUUCUAUAAUUAUGAAACUCUAAAUUCCUUCCUUAUGACUAGAUAGCAUAUCCUUCUUUAGUAAGGGACACUAGUGUCCCGAUUAUGGAAUACUCCACAAAGAGGUUUGCUUAGUGCCUAAAUUGUUGUUCUCAUUAUUAUGAAAUAAUUUUCAUUUACGCAAAUAUUUUAACAGAUCUUUUUGCUGUUGUAAUUUGAGCAAUCGUAGCUUGUUUGUACAACGUGAUUUGAGGGAAUGGUGGCUUUAACUUUCUUUGUAUUUUGUACUGAUUCUAUGUUGCAUAUUACUCUGAAAUCUAAUAUGUUGAAGGCAAGUAUACAGAUAAAUGUCAUGUGCAAAAAUGGUUGUCAUUGUGUGCCUUCAAGUCGUAUCUGACUUAUGGUGACCCCCAAGGCAAACCUAACAUGGAGCUUUAUUGGCAAGAUUCCUUAUGAAACAACUCAGUGAAGCCCAGUUUUAAACAAUUUAUUUGACAGAAUUUGCCAGUUAUGGACAUGAUUCAGCACAUUAAGGUAAUUGUGACAAGAUCCUCAUGUUUAUUCAGAAACUGUUCAGAUGGAAUUUAAUUGGACUAACUUUGAAGUAAGUGUGAAGUAAGCAUGUAAAGUAAAAUGUGUGUUGAUUUCAGUGAGUGAGAUCAGUUAGAUUUAGGUACAUGCUGAAUGUUCCCACUGUAAUUCAUGAGUUUAACUCUGGAAAGAUCACAUAUUUACUCUGCAUCCCUCAACUAGUCAUAUGUGCCCAUCUGUUCUUUAUCUGUGUUCUCUGCUGGUCAGCAUAAUUCUAUCUCCCUUCUCUAGUAGGCUUAGCUUCUUUCUUUUCUGUUUUUUACUUACAGAGGAAACCACUUUCAGCAGGAAAAAAAAAGAGACCAUUAUAUGUACUGUGUUACAAUACAUCCUCCUUUCCCCAGAUAUAUACUCUUUUUUUAGAGCUAAAAUUGGUGGAUUUUUACGUAUGUCUGGGUUUUCUUACAAGGUUCAGACCAGAGGAAGUGGGCAAUCAAGUAGAAAAGGUUUGAGAAGAAGGGAAAGAAGUCAUGCCAGGCUAAAACAAGGUGAGGGAAGCCCCCUAAGAAGCCAGCCUCAGCCUCACGGGAUUACCGAGUGACUCACCAGCUUCCAGCUGAGGCAGCUGUCAGAAGAGAAUGGGGAAAGGGAAGGUUCUGGACUAGCCAAUUCUAUGUGGCUUUUAUUGAGGACCUUGACUGACCUAAUGGGUUUUGUUUUUAAUUCCUCCCUCCCCCUAUAUUUGCACAAAGUGAACCUGAAAAAGACUAGUCACGAGAUCAUUGUUUUUAUUUGUACAGAUAACAAAAGUUCUAUGUUUCAUUGUGUAAUAUUUGUGAUCAUUUGAGCACACUUCAUUUUACAAUUAGGUACUGGAAAUUCAAUUGCAACCAGACCAGUUGUUGGUAUUAUUAAAUAUCUCUCAAUAAUCAAGAAAAUUGUUGCUAUUUAAAUAUAAUGAAGAUUAGGAAUAUUUCUAAUAGCAAUUAUCACAGCUUAUAUAGCAGGAAUAUUUAAUGUGAGAGUUGUCAGAGUGAGGUUGGUUUGAAACAGUGAGAUGGUAAUUGUACCUUGUCCUUGCUUUCCAAAAAAGAUAACCCUGUACUAUGUGUGAAGAGUGAAGCAUUGUUUGAGUGAACAGGCAGAGUCUGCCAUUUCAAUUCAACAAAAGUAACUGCAUACAACAGCCACUAAAUUGACAUGAAACCAUUUUCCUGUAGAACAAACAUUUUAUCAUGUGUUUUUCAUUUGCCAACUGUCAAAGGAUCAGAAACAGCUGGUGUGCUAUGACACCAUGUACCAUUCCUCCUCUGCAGUUUCUAUCCUGUUCUUCUAAAUGUCAAAUGUCUUUAAAAUAAGUUUCUAGCUUUCAUGGACAAAGAAGAAAUCUCAGUAUCAUGUUCUCUUUGUCAUCGGUGUAAUUUUAAAAAUCUAAUUGCUUGUACACACAGAUAAACAGGAAGAUCUGCAACUUUGGGUGGCCCCAUGAGCUGUACUGGAGUCUCUGCGAGGUAAGAGGUGCCUGGUGAUUUUGGGUGGUGGUGGGAGGUUGGUGAUGGACUUGAGGAUGAAGGAGGAAUCUAGCCAAGUGUAGGAAUCCCUGCACUCUGGGUGGCAGCAGCGUCUUCCUUCUCUCCCUGUGCAGGGUUCGAACUCCUAACUUUGGCACCUGGACGGAUUUCCCCAAAACUUGGGGUCGGAUGGGUUACACCUCUCUGCCAACUCCCUUCCAUAGUCCCUCCCCCAGUGCGAUUUGAUUGAGAUCCAAAUGUCGUUCCCAUUUUUUGAACAUGAUUGCAAACCGAUUCUUUUCAAAAGAACCUCCAAAUGAUUCGCCUUAAAAAAAAAGGGGGGUUCUUUUACAUUUGCCUCGCUUCACUUCAGUUCUCCAUGAUUCAAACUGAACAUAGUUGGGUCUGAAAUUGUUUCCAGUGUGAAUGAGGCACAUAUAAACCAAUCAGCAAAUAGGUUUAAAUCAUAGUAGGAACGGGCCCUAAAUACCCUCCCCACGAAAGCAAGUCCCAGUAUUCCAUAGGCAAAACCAUGGUAGUUAAAGUGGAAUCAUAGCACUAUAACUGCGUAAUGUUAAAGAUGUGGAUCUAAAAUGGAGGAGGUGUGAUAAUGCAAUGUUUCUGUUAACAGUUUUAUGGUAUUCCAUAGUUGUUUUCUAAUGUUGCAUCUAGGAGAUUAUUUAAACAUUUCUAAAUGUGUACCUUAACCACAGAAUGUUCUCUAUGUAACAACUAUUAUAUUUUAUUACUAACAGAAUUGUGUGAUCCCCACUCUAAACAAAACAAUUUCUUAAGAAAAUAGCUGUAACCUUGCUCCAAUUAAAAAAUAAAACAAAAUGAAAGUGUACUCAAGAAAUAUAAAGUGGAAACAUAGAGGUGAAAUGGAAGAGAAAGAGUAGAGCAUACAGUCAUAUUACCCAACAAUUCUUGCAAACACCAAUCUUUCUGAAAAUAGUUAACAAAAUUCUCACUGGGUAAAGGACAGAAGCCACCUGGAUUUCACAACCAGAAGGAGAUUUCUGAGUGCUUCUGGUAGUAACAAAUGAAAAUGUAUUUGCAAUGCUGUAUUCAUUCCUUUUUUCGCUGUUGUUGUUUUGUUUUCAGUUUUUUGUUUUCACUUCAAUCCAAAUGUCAGGAUUGUAUAUAGCAAGAAGUUUCUACUCAUUAAUCAUUUGAAUGAAAAAGAAAAGAAAAGAACAUCCAACAACAAUAUCUUUUAAAAGGUCCUGUGAAAUACUGCUGGGAGACAAGGGCUUUAUUUGAAUCCUCUCCUGCCCAGUCAUUUAUCCUUGCUUUAACAGAUUCUUUCUGAAACCUUCUUGCAAUGCACUUAUCCAUAUUAUUUGGUUUCUCAUGGUGCAUUUAUUAUACCAUGACAGUUAAAGUGGUGUCAAAACAGAUUAUUUCUGCAGUGCAGAUGCAGCCUAGGAAUAGGAAGGGUAGUGAUGAAAGAACUAGAAAAGAUCCUAAAGAGUAAAGAUAAACAACUGAA